rnacentral:SRP_RNA from 1 species
UGACGGACUAGGUUGGGCGGUUAGGCCCCGCUCUUCACCCGUAAGGAAGUCUUCAGCGGGGACCGAACACCGGGGGCGUACGGUCAGACCGACGCGGGCCCCGAGAGCCAACGUGGAAGCCUCGUCCGACGGGGACAGCGGUCCGCGGCGCUCAUCCGCAGGGAUGAUCCGUCACGGUUGGUCGGCGGCAGUGGGUCAGGCGCGGAAGCGAGCAUCCCACCGCUGGACGCCAGUCGCUCGUGGGGUCGCGGGGUGGAGAAGGCAACCGGGAAUACCCACGUCGGAACGCCGGGCCACCCCGGUCGUCUGCCA